UCCCUUCAUUUUUUAGUAAGAUGUCCUUUAACCUCCAUGUAUUUGUGGUCUUUCCAAAUUUUUUUCUUAUGGUUGAAUUCAAGUUUCAUAGAGCUGUGGUCUGAAAGUAUGUAUGGUAAGAUCUCCAUCUUUUUGUACUGGUUGAGUCCUGAUUUGUGACCCAGGAUGUGAUCUCUUCUGGAGAAUGUUCCAUGUGCACUUGAAAAGAAUGUAUAUUCUGUUGCUUUAGAAUGAAAUACUCUGAAUAUAUAUUUGAAGUCUAA